CUGGGGGAUCUUGCGCAUGGGCGAAGCCUGAGCAGCGACGCCGCGUGAGGGAUGACGGCCUUCGGGUUGUAAACCUCUUUCAGCUCCGACGAAGCGGAAGUGACGGUAGGAGCAGAAGAAGCACCGGCCAACUACGUGCCAGCAGCCGCGGUAAUACGUAGGGUGCAAGCGUUGUCCGGAAUUAUUGGGCGUAAAGAGCUCGUAGGCGGUCUGUCGCGUCGGCUGUGAAAACUCGGGGCUCAACUCCGAGCUUGCAGUCGAUACGGGCAGGCUAGAGUUCGGCAGGGGAGACUGGAAUUCCUGGUGUAGCGGUGAAAUGCGCAGAUAUCAGGAGGAACACCGGUGGCGAAGGCGGGUCUCUGGGCCGAUACUGACGCUGAGGAGCGAAAGCGUGGGGAGCGAACAGGAUUAGAUACCCUGGUAGUCCACGCCGUAAACGUUGGGCGCUAGGUGUGGGAUCCCUUCCACGGGUUCCGUGCCGCAGCUAACGCAUUAAGCGCCCCGCCUGGGGAGUACGGCCGCAAGGCUAAAACU
rnacentral:rRNA from 1 species